CAGCAGAGCAUGCGAACUUAACCAUUCGGCCACAGAGCUGGACCUCGCUGGGUAAUUUUUGAUGGGAUGCUGGAGAUUGUAUAUGAAAAACUGUAGAAAAAGUGUGGACGAAAUUAUCCUCUUCGAGAGGGAUUCGCCAUAUCCUCUGGCCAACAACCAGAGCAGGGACACCUCAGUCCAGUCAAGACCUGAUCUUACUUAAGGCUGGGCUUCAGAUGUCAUAAAGCUGGCUCUGCCUCUGGUUUGCCUCAGCUUCUAGGGUAUAGCCUUCCAGGGGUCACAAUGAGAGCCUGAAGUGUUUUCAAAGACCUCCCUCUUUGAGGUCCUUAAGUUCUCUUUUUGUUUUUCCAGUAUUGUGAGAUGCUCUCUUGUACUUUUCACUUCAUUUUUUCCCCUUUUAGUUUCUCACCUUACACAACAUAAAAAUUAGUAAAUGCCUGAGAAGGAAGCCAGCCUAGGUCAGUUAUCUGCAUGUCCCUACUCCCAGCAUAUUUGCCCCUCUAGUCUCGGCUGCCUUAGAAACUCUCCAAUGAUUUCAAAUAGAUGUUGCAUGCACUUUGUUGAGCCUUUCUUGUUUUUGUGGCAGAGCAUUACAAGCUAACCUAUCCUAGCUAGAAAUGAAAGGAUAGAAUGAGUUAUUGUCAAAUCCAAAUUCUGGAUGUUUGCUCUGACAAUAUAUUUUUUUUCUGUUUUAUUUUCUUGCCUUCAAAAGACCAGGAAAAAAGUAUGUACUACAUUUAAUAUAUCACCUUUAUUGAAAAGAGCUGUAUAACAUGUAGUCGGGGUUGUCCUGAACAGUUGAGACCUUAUGGUUACACCUGUAUAAUACCCCCUCACUCAAAAUAAGUUGAUACUUCUGCUUUAUAAAUAAUUGGUCUCAGUGAAUUUGAAUUCCAAGAUAUAAUUAACUGGAGCCUACCUAUAUCUACGUCCAUUUCUUUUUUAAAGUUAGUAUCAGUUUUUCACUUUGAUAGACAUGAUCAGCUGCAUAGCAUUUGUGUGCUACCUAAUGAAAACACAAUCACCAACAAACCCUCAAUGAUGAAAAUAAUCUUGUUCUUCCAUUUUCCCUGCCAGACAGGCAUUCUGUCCAGGCCACAAAUCUUUAGGCUCAGAUCUGUCCACACUGAAGAGCAGGGCAUUUCAACAGUAGG
rnacentral:lncRNA from 1 species